rnacentral:rRNA from 1 species
ACUCCUGCGGGAGGCAGCAGUGGGGAAUAUUGGACAAUGGGCGCAAGCCUGAUCCAGCCAUGCCGCGUGAGUGAUGAAGGCCCUAGGGUUGUAAAGCUCUUUCACCGGUGAAGAUAAUGACGGUAACCGGAGAAGAAGCCCCGGCUAACUUCGUGCCAGCAGCCGCGGUAAUACGAAGGGGGCUAGCGUUGUUCGGAUUUACUGGGCGUAAAGCGCACGUAGGCGGACUAUUAAGUCAGGGGUGAAAUCCCGGGGCUCAACCCCGGAACUGCCUUUGAUACUGGUAGUCUUGAGUUCGAGAGAGGUGAGUGGAAUUCCGAGUGUAGAGGUGAAAUUCGUAGAUAUUCGGAGGAACACCAGUGGCGAAGGCGGCUCACUGGCUCGAUACUGACGCUGAGGUGCGAAAGCGUGGGGAGCAAACAGGAUUAGAAACCCUUGUAGUCCCAUG